UUAUCCAGUGCCCAGGCGGCUGAGUCCUGCCUGAACUUGUCCUCCAGAUGCCAGGCUAGAGCAUGGUCCUCAGUGAACACUGCCUGGACAUUCCUAAAGGAGAUUCAUAUCACGGAGACAGCUAACGCAGUUAUAACAACAUGUAUGUGGUUUAUGACUAGGUAGCUAACGCAGUUACAACAACAUGUAUGUGGUUUAUGACUAGGUAGCUAGCUCAGUUACAACAACAUGUAUGUGGUUUAUGACUAGGUAGCUAGCUCAGUUAUAGCAACAUGUAUGUGGUUUAUGACUAGGUAGCUAGGGCAGUUAUAGCAACAUGUAUGUGGUUUAUGACUAGGUAGCUAGGGCAGUUACAACAACAUGUAUGUGGUUUAUGACUAGGUAGCUAGCGCAGUUACAACAACAUGUAUGUGGUUUAUGACUAGGUAGCUAGCGCAGUUACAACAACAUGUAUGUGGUUUAUGACUAGGUAGCUAGCUCAGUUAUAGCAACAUGUAUGUGGAUUAUGACUAGGUAGCUAGCUCAGUUACAACAACAUGUAUGUGGUUUAUGACUAGGUAGCUAGCUCAGUUAUAGCAACAUGUAUGUGGUUUAUGACUAGGUAGCUAGCCCAGUUACAACAACAUGUAUGUGGUUUAUGACUAGGUAGCUAGCGCAGUUACAACAACAUGUAUGUGGUUUAUGACUAGGUAGCUAGGGCAGGUACAACAAUAUGUAUGUGGUUUAUGACUAGGUAGCUAGCUCAGUUACAACAAUAUGUAUGUGGUUUAUGACUAGGUAGCUAGGGCAGUUACAACAACAUGUAUGUGGUUUAUGACUAGGUAGCUAGCGCAGUUACAACAACAUGUAUGUGGUUUAUGACUAGGUAGCUAGGGCAGUUACAACAACAUGUAUGUGGUUUAUGACUAGGUAGCUAGGGCAGGUACAACAAUAUGUAUGUGGUUUAUGACUAGGUAGCUAGCUCAGUUACAACAAUAUGUAUGUGGUUUAUGACUAGGUAUCUAGGGCAGUUACAACAAUAUGUAUGUGGUUUAUGACUAGGUAGCUAGGGCAGUUACAACAACAUGUAUGUGGUUUAUGACUAGGUAGCUAGGGCAGUUACAACAAAAUGUAUGUGGUUUAUGACUAGGUAGCUAGCACAGUUACAAUAACAUGUAUGUGGUUUAUGACUAGGUAGCUAGGGCAGUUACAACAACAUGUAUGUGGUUUAUGACUAGGUAGCUAGGGCAGUUACAACAACAUGUAUGUGGUUUAUGACUAGGUAGCUAGGGCAGUUACAACAACAUGUAUGUGGUUUAUGACUAGGUAGCUAGCUCAGUUAUAACAACAUGUAUGUGGUUUAUGACUAGGUAGCUAGGGCAGUUACAACAAUAUGUAUGUGGUUUAUGACUAGGUAGCUAGGGCAGUUACAACAAUAUGUAUGUGGUUUAUGACUAGGUAGCUAGCUCAGUUAUAACAACAUGUAUGUGGUUUAUGACUAGGUAGCUAGGGCAGUUACAACAAUAUGUAUGUGGUUUAUGACUAGGUAGCUAGGGCAGUUACAACAAUAUGUAUGUGGUUUAUGACUAGGUAGCUAGCUCAGUUACAACAACAUGUAUGCGGCUUAUGACUAGGUAGCUAGGGCAGUUACAACAACAUGUAUGUGGUUUAUGACUAGGUAGCUAGGGCAGUUACAACAAUAUGUAUGUGGUUUAUGACUAGGUAGUUAGGGCAGUUACAACAACAUGUAUGUGGUUUAUGACUAGGUAGCUAGCGCAGUUACAACAACAUGUAUGUGGUUUAUGACUAGGUAGCUAGGGCAGUUACAACAACAUGUAUGUGGUUUAUGACUAGGUAGCUAGGGCAGGUACAACAAUAUGUAUGUGGUUUAUGACUAGGUAGCUAGCUCAGUUACAACAAUAUGUAUGUGGUUUAUGACUAGGUAGCUAGGGCAGUUACAACAAUAUGUAUGUGGUUUAUGACUAGGUAGCUAGGGCAGUUACAACAACAUGUAUGUGGUUUAUGACUAGGUAGCUAGCGCAGUUACAACAACAUGUAUGUGGUUUAUAACUAGGUAGCUAGCGCAGUUACAACAACAUGUAUGUGGUUUAUGACUAGGUAGCUAGCACAGUUACAAUAACAUGUAUGUGGUUUAUGACUAGGUAGCUAGGGCAGUUACAACAACAUGUAUGUGGUUUAUGACUAGGUAGCUAGGGCAGUUACAACAACAUGUAUGUGGUUUAUGACUAGGUAGCUAGCACAGUUACAACAACAUGUAUGUGGUUUAUGACUAGGUAGCUAGGGCAGUUACAACAACAUGUAUGUGGUUUAUGACUAGGUAGCUAGCUCAGUUACAACAACAUGUAUGUGGUUUAUGACUAGGUAGCUAGGGCAGUUACAACAACAUGUAUGUGGUUUAUGACUAGGUAGCUAGCACAGUUACAACAACAUGUAUGUGGUUUAUGACUAGGUAGCUAGGGCAGUUACAACAACAUGUAUGUGGUUUAUGACUAGGUAGCUAGGGCAGUUACAACAACAUGUAUGUGGUUUAUGACUAGGUAGCUAGGGCAGUUACAACAAUAUGUAUGUGGUUUAUGACUAGGUAGCUAGCUCAGUUACAACAACAUGUAUGCGGUUUAUGACUAGGUAGCUAGGGCAGUUACAACAACAUGUAUGUGGUUUAUGACUAGGUAGCUAGGGCAGUUACAACAAUAUGUAUGUGGUUUAUGACUAGGUAGCUAGCUCAGUUAUAACAACAUGUAUGUGGUUUAUGACUAGGUAGCUAGGGCAGUUACAACAAUAUGUAUGUGGUUUAUGACUAGGUAGCUAGGGCAGUUACAACAAUAUGUAUGUGGUUUAUGACUAGGUAGCUAGCUCAGUUACAACAAUAUGUAUGUGGUUUAUGACUAGGUAUCUAGGGCAGUUACAACAAUAUGUAUGUGGUUUAUGACUAGGUAGCUAGGGCAGUUACAACAACAUGUAUGUGGUUUAUGACUAGGUAGCUAGGGCAGUUACAACAAAAUGUAUGUGGUUUAUGACUAGGUAGCUAGCACAGUUACAAUAACAUGUAUGUGGUUUAUGACUAGGUAGCUAGGGCAGUUACAACAACAUGUAUGUGGUUUAUGACUAGGUAGCUAGGGCAGUUACAACAACAUGUAUGUGGUUUAUGACUAGGUAGCUAGGGCAGUUACAACAACAUGUAUGUGGUUUAUGACUAGGUAGCUAGCUCAGUUAUAACAACAUGUAUGUGGUUUAUGACUAGGUAGCUAGGGCAGUUACAACAAUAUGUAUGUGGUUUAUGACUAGGUAGCUAGGGCAGUUACAACAAUAUGUAUGUGGUUUAUGACAAGGUAGCUAGCUCAGUUAUAACAACAUGUAUGUGGUUUAUGACUAGGUAGCUAGGGCAGUUACAACAAUAUGUAUGUGGUUUAUGACUAGGUAGCUAGGGCAGUUACAACAAUAUGUAUGUGGUUUAUGACUAGGUAGCUAGCUCAGUUACAACAACAUGUAUGCGGCUUAUGACUAGGUAGCUAGGGCAGUUACAACAACAUGUAUGUGGUUUAUGACUAGGUAGCUAGGGCAGUUACAACAAUAUGUAUGUGGUUUAUGACUAGGUAGUUAGGGCAGUUACAACAACAUGUAUGUGGUUUAUGACUAGGUAGCUAGCGCAGUUACAACAACAUGUAUGUGGUUUAUGACUAGGUAGCUAGGGCAGUUACAACAACAUGUAUGUGGUUUAUGACUAGGUAGCUAGGGCAGGUACAACAAUAUGUAUGUGGUUUAUGACUAGGUAGCUAGCUCAGUUACAACAAUAUGUAUGUGGUUUAUGACUAGGUAGCUAGGGCAGUUACAACAAUAUGUAUGUGGUUUAUGACUAGGUAGCUAGGGCAGUUACAACAACAUGUAUGUGGUUUAUGACUAGGUAGCUAGCGCAGUUACAACAACAUGUAUGUGGUUUAUAACUAGGUAGCUAGCGCAGUUACAACAACAUGUAUGUGGUUUAUGACUAGGUAGCUAGCACAGUUACAAUAACAUGUAUGUGGUUUAUGACUAGGUAGCUAGGGCAGUUACAACAACAUGUAUGUGGUUUAUGACUAGGUAGCUAGGGCAGUUACAACAACAUGUAUGUGGUUUAUGACUAGAUAGCUAGCACAGUUACAACAACAUGUAUGUGGUUUAUGACUAGGUAGCUAGGGCAGUUACAACAACAUGUAUGUGGUUUAUGACUAGGUAGCUAGCUCAGUUACAACAACAUGUAUGUGGUUUAUGACUAGGUAGCUAGGGCAGUUACAACAACAUGUAUGUGGUUUAUGACUAGGUAGCUAGCACAGUUACAACAACAUGUAUGUGGUUUAUGACUAGGUAGCUAGGGCAGUUACAACAACAUGUAUGUGGUUUAUGACUAGGUAGCUAGGGCAGUUACAACAACAUGUAUGUGGUUUAUGACUAGGUAGCUAGGGCAGUUACAACAAUAUGUAUGUGGUUUAUGACUAGGUAGCUAGCUCAGUUACAACAACAUGUAUGCGGUUUAUGACUAGGUAGCUAGGGCAGUUACAACAACAUGUAUGUGGUUUAUGACUAGGUAGCUAGGGCAGUUACAACAAUAUGUAUGUGGUUUAUGACUAGGUAGCUAGGGCAGUUACAACAACAUGUAUGUGGUUUAUGACUAGGUAGCUAGCGCAGUUACAACAACAUGUAUGUGGUUUAUGACUAGGUAGCUAGGGCAGUUACAACAACAUGUAUGUGGUUUAUGACUAGGUAGCUAGGGCAGUUACAACAAUAUGUAUGUGGUUUAUGACUAGGUAGCUAGCUCAGUUACAACAACAUGUAUGCGGUUUAUGACUAGGUAGCUAGGGCAGUUACAACAACAUGUAUGUGGUUUAUGACUAGGUAGCUAGGGCAGUUACAACAAUAUGUAUGUGGUUUAUGACUAGGUAGCUAGGGCAGUUACAACAACAUGUAUGUGGUUUAUGACUAGGUAGCUAGCGCAGUUACAACAACAUGUAUGUGGUUUAUGACUAGGUAGCUAGCUCAGAUACAACAACACGUAUGUGGUUUAUGACUAGGUAGCUAGCUCAGUUACAACAACAUGUAUGUGGUUUAUGACUAGGUAGCUAGGGCAGUUACAACAACUGGUAUGUGGUUUAUGACUAGGUAGCUAGGGCAGUUACAACAACAUGUAUGUGGUUUAUGACUAGGUAGCUAGGGCAGUUACAACAACUGGUAUGUGGUUUAUGACUAGGUAGCUAGGGCAGUUACAACAACAUGUAUGUGGUUUAUGACUAGGUAGCUAGGGCAGUUACAACAACAUGUAUGCAGUUUUCUGACUAGGUAGCUAGGGCAGUUACAACAACAUGUAUGUGGUUUAUGACUAGGUAGCUAGCUCAGUUACAACAACAUGUAUGUGGUUUAUGACUAGGUAGCUAGGGCAGUUACAACAACAUGUAUGUGGUUUAUGACUAGGUAGCUAGCUCAGUUAUAAAAACAUGUAUGUGGUUUAUGACCAGGUAGCUAGGGCAGUUACAACAACAUGUAUGUUGUUUAUGACUAGGUAGCUAGGGCAGUUACAACAACAUGUAUGUGGUUUAUAACUAGGUAGCUAGGGCAGUUACAACAACAUGUAUGUGGUUUAUGACUAGGUAGCUAGCGCAGUUACAACAACAUGUAUGUGGUUUAUGACUAGGUAGCUAGGACAGUUACAACAAUAUGUAUGUGGUUUAUGACUAUGUAUCUAGCGCAGUUACAACAACAUGUAUGUGGUUUAUGACUAGGUAGCUAGCUCAGUUAUAACAACAUGUAUGUGGUUUAUGACUAGGUAGCUAGCUCAGUUACAACAACAUGUAUGUGGUUUAUGACUAGGUAGCUAGGGCAGUUACAACAAUAUGUAUGUGGUUUAUGACUAGGUAGCUAGGGCAGUUACAACAACAUGUAUGUGGUAUAUGACUAGGUAGCUAGGGCAGUUACAACAAUAUGUUACAACAAUAUGUAUGCAACAAUUACAACAGCAUGUAUGUGGUUUAUGACUAGGUAGCUAGGGCAGUUACAACAACAUGUAUGCAGUUUUCUGACUAGGUAGCUAGGGCAGUUACAACAACAUGUAUGUGGUUUAUGACUAGGUAGCUAGCUCAGUUACAACAACAUGCAUGUGCUUUAUGACUAGGUAGCUAGGGCAGUUACAACAACAUGUAUGUGGUUUAUGACUAGGUAGCUAGUGCAGUUACAACAACAUGUAUGUGGUUUAUGACUAGGUAGCUAGCUCAGUUAUAAAAACAUGUAUGUGGUUUAUGACUAGGUAGCUAGGGCAGUUACAACAACAUGUAUGUUGUUUAUGACUAGGUAGCUAGGGCAGUUACAACAACAUGUAUGUGGUUUAUGACUAGGUAGCUAGCGCAGUUACAACAACAUGUAUGUGGUUUAUGACUAGGUAGCUAGCGCAGUUACAACAACAUGUAUGUGGUUUAUGACUAGGUAGCUAGGACAGUUACAACAACAUGUAUGUGGUUUAUGACUAUGUAUCUAGCGCAGUUACAACAACAUGUAUGUGGUUUAUGACUAGGUAGCUAGCGCAGUUACAACAACAUGUAUGUGGUUUAUGACUAUGUAUCUAGCGCAGUUACAACAACAUGUAUGUGGUUUAUGACUAGGUAGCUAGCGCAGUUACAACAACAUGUAUGUGGUUUAUGACUAGGUAGCUAGGUCAGUUACAACAACAUGUAUGUGGUUUAUGACUAGGUAGCUAGCUCAGUUAUAACAACAUGUAUGUGGUUUAUGACUAGGUAGCUAGCUCAGUUACAACAACAUGUAUGUGGUUUAUGACUAGGUAGCUAGCUCAGUUAUAACAACAUGUAUGUGGUUUAUGACUAGGUAGCUAGCUCAGUUAUAACAACAUGUAUGUGGUUUAUGACUAGGUAGCUAGGGCAGUUACAACAAUAUGUAAGUGGUUUAUGACUAGGUAGCUAGGGCAGUUACAACAACAUGUAUGUGGUUUAUGACUAGGUAGCUAGGGCAGUUACAACAAUAUGUUACAACAAUAUGUAUGCAACAAUUACAACAACAUGUAUGUGGUUUAUGACUAGGUAGCUAGGGCAGUUACAACAACAUGUAUGUGGUUUAUGACUAGGUAGCUAGCUCAGUUACAACAAUAUGUAUGUGGUUUAUGACUAGGUAGCUAGCUCAGUUACAACAACAUGUAUGUGGUUUAUGACUAGGUAGCUAGCGCAGUUACAACAACAUGUAUGUGGUUUAUGACUAUGUAGCUAGCGCAGUUACAACAACACGUAUGUGGUUUAUGACUAGGUAGCUAGCGCAGUUACAACAACAUGUAUGUGGUUUAUGACUAGGUAGCUAUGACAGUUACAACAACAUGUAUGUGGUUUAUGACUAGGUAUCUAGCGCAGUUACAACAACAUGUAUGUGGUUUAUGACUAGGUAGCUAGCACAGUUACAACAACAUGUAUGUGGUUUAUGACUAGGCAGCUAGGGCAGUUACAACAACAUGUAUGUGGUUUAUGACUAUGUAGCUAGCGCAGUUACAACAACAUGUAUGUGGUUUAUGACUAGGUAGCUAGCUCAGUUAUAACAACAUGUAUGUGGUUUAUGACUAGGUAGCUAGCUCAGUUACAACAACAUGUAUGUGGUUUAUGACUAGGUAGCUAGCUCAGUUACAACAACAUGUAUGUGGUUUAUGACUAGGUAGCUAGGACAGUUACAACAACAUGUAUGUGGUUUAUGACUAGGUAGCUAUGGCAGUUACAACAAUAUGUUACAACAAUAUGUAUGCAACAAUUACAACAACAUGUAUGUGGUUUAUGACUAGGUAGCUAGGGCAGUUACAACAACAUGUAUGUUGUUUAUGACUAGGUAGCUAGGGCAGUUACAACAACAUGUAUGUGGUUUAUGACUAGGUAGCUAGCGCAGUUACACCAAAAUGUAUGUGGUUUAUGACUAAGUAGCUAGCCCAGUUAAAACAACAUGUAUGUGGUUUAUGACUAGGUAGCUAGCUCAGUUACAACAACACGUAUGUGUUUUAUGACUAGGUAGCUAGGGCAGUUAAAACAACAUGUAUGUGGUUUAUGACUAGGUAGCUAGCACAGUUACAACAACACGUAUGUGGUUUAUGACUAGGUAGCUAGCGCAGUUACAACAACAUGUAUGUGGUUUAUGACUAGGUAGCUAGCUCAGUUACAAAAACACGUAUGUGGUUUAUGACUAGGUAGCUAGCUCAGUUACAACAACAUGUAUGUAGUUUAUGACUAGGUAGCUAGGGCAGUUACAACAACAUGUAUGUGGUUUAUGACUAGGUAGCUAGCCCAGUUACAACAACAUGUAUGUGGUUUAUGACUAGGUAGCUAGCGCAGUUACAACAACAUGUAUGUGGUUUAUGACUAGGUAGCUAGGGCAGUUACAACAACAUGUAUGUGGUUUAUGACUAGGUAGCUAGCGCAGUUACAACAACAUGUAUGUGGUUUAUGACUAGGUAGCUAGGGCAGUUACAACAACAUGUAUGCGGUUUAUGACUAGGUAGCUAGCGCAGUUAUAACAACAUGUAUGUGGUUUAUGACUAGGUAGCUAGCUCAGUUACAACAACAUGUAUGUGGUUUAUGACUAGGUAGCUAGGGCAGUUGCAACAACAUGUAUGUGGUUUAUGACUAGGUAGCUAGGGAAGUUACAACAACAUGUAUGUGCUUUAUGACUAGGUAGCUAGGGCAGUUACAACAACAUGUAUGUGGUUUAUGACUAGGUAGCUAGGGCAGUUACAACAACAUGUAUGUGGUUUAUGACUAGGUAGCUAGCUCAGUUAUAACAACAUGUAUGUGGUUUAUGACUAGGUAGCUAGCGCAGUUACAACAACACGUAUGUGGUUUAUGACUAGGUAGCUAGCUCAGUUACAACAACAUGUAUGUGCUUUAUGACUAGGUAGCUAGGGCAGUUACAACAACAUGUAUGUGGUUUAUGACUAGGUAGCUAGGGCAGUUACAACAACAUGUAUGUGGUUUUUUGACUAGGUAGCUAGCUCAGUUAUAACAACAUGUAUGUGGUUUAUGACUAGGUAGCUAGGGCAGUUACAACAACAUGUAUGUGGUUUAUGACUAGGUAGCUAGGGCAGUUACAACAACAUGUAUGUGGUUUAUGACUAGGUAGCUAGCGCGGUUACAACAACAUGUAUGUGGUUUAUGACUAGGUAGCUAGCGCAGUUACAACAACACGUAUGUGGUUUAUGACUAGGUAGCUAGGGCAGUUACAACAACAUGUAUGUGGUUUAUGACUAGGUAGCUAGCUCAGUUAUAACAACAUGUAUGUGGUUUAUGACUAGGUAGCUAGCUCUGUUACAACAAUAUGUAUGUGGUUUAUGACUAGGUAGCUAGCGCAGUUACAACAACAUGUAUGUGGUUUAUGACUAGGUAGCUAGGGCAGUUACAACAACAUGUAUGUGGUUUAUGACUAGGUAGCUAGGGCAGUUACAACAACAUGUAUGUGGUUUAUGACUAGGUAGCUAGGGCAGUUACAACAACAUGUAUGUGGUUUAUGACUAGGUAGCUAGGGCAGUUACAACAACAUGUAUGUGGUUUAUGACUAGGUAGCUAGGGCAGUUACAACAACAUGUAUGUGGUUUAUGACUAGGUAGCUAGGUCCAGUUACAACAACAUGUAUGUGGUUUAUGACUAGGUAGCUAGCGCAGUUACAACAACAUGUAUGUGGUUUAUGACUAGGUAGCUAGCGCAGUUACAACAACAUGUAUGUGGUUUAUGACUAGGUAGCUAGCUCAGUUACAACAACACGUAUGUGGUUUAUGACUAGGUAGCUAGCGCAGUUACAACAACAUGUAUGUGGUUUAUGACGAGGUAGCUAGGUCAGUUACAACAACAUGUAUGUGGUUUAUGACUAGGUAGCUAGGAGAGUUACAACAACAUGUAUGUGGUUUAUGACUAGGUAGCUAGCGCAGUUACAACAACAUGUAUGUGGUUUAUGACUAGGUAGCUAGGGCAGUUAAAAGAAUAUGUAUGUGGUUUAUGACUAGGUAGCUAGGGCAGUUACAACAACAUUUAUGUGGUUUAUGACUAGGUAGCUAGGGCAGUUACAACAACAUGUAUGCAGUUUUCUGACUAGGUAGCUAGGGCAGUUACAACAACAUGUAUGUGGUUUAUGACUAGGUAGCUAGGGCAGUUACAACAACAUGCAUGUGCUUUAUGACUAGGUAGCUAGGGCAGUAACAACAACAUGUAUGUGGCUUAAGACUAGGUAGCUAGGGCAGUUACAACAACAUGUAUGUGGUUUAUGACUAGGUAGCUAGCCAGUUAUAAAAACAUGUAUGUGGUUUAUGACUAGGUAGCUAGGGCAGUUACAACAACAUGUAUGUUGUUUAUGACUAGGUAGCUAGGGAAGUUACAACAACAUGUAUGUGGUUUAUGACUAGGUAGCUAGCGCAGUUACAACAACGUGUAUGUGGUUUAUGACUAGGUAGCUAGGGCAGUUACAACAACAUGUAUGUGGUUUAUAACUAUGUAGCUAGCGCAGUUACAACAACAUGUAUGUGGUUUAUGACUAGGUAGCUAGCUCAGUUAUAACAACAUGUAUGUGGUUUAUGACUAGGUAGCUAGCUCAGUUACAACAACAUGUAUGUGGUUUAUGACUAGGUAGCUAGGGCAGUUACAACAAUAUGUAAGUGGUUUAUGACUAGGUAGCUAGGGCAGUUACAACAACAUGUAUGUGGUUUAUGACUAGGUAGCUUGGGCAGUUACAACAAUAUGUUACAACAAUAUGUAUGAAACAAUUACAACAACAUGUAUGUGGUUUAUGACUAGGUAGCUAGGGCAGUUACAACAACAUGUAUGUGGUUUAUGACUAGGUAGCUAGGGCAGUUACAACAAUAUGUAUGUGGUUUAUGACUAGGUAGCUAGGGCAGUUACAACAACAUGUAUGUGGUUUAUGACUAGGUAGCUAGCUCAGUUACAACAACAUGUAUGCGGUUUAUGACUAGGUAGCUAGGUCAGUUACAACAACAUGUAUGUGGUUUAUGACUAGGUAGCUAGGGCAGUUACAACAACAUGUAUGUGGUUUAUGACUAGGUAGCUAGGGCUGGUACAACAAUAUGUAUGUGGUUUAUGACUAGGUAGCUAGCUCAGUUACAACAAUAUGUAUGUGGUUUAUGACUAGGUAGCUAGCGCAGUUACAACAACAUGUAUGUGGUUUAUGACUAGGUAGCUAGCUCAGUUACAACAACACGUAUGUGGUUUAUGACUAGGUAGCUAGCUCAGGUACAUCAACAUGUAUGUGGUUUAUGACUAGGUAGCUAGGGCAGUUACAACAACUGGUAUGUGGUUUAUGACUAGGUAGCUAGGGCAGUUACAACAACAUGUAUGUGGUUUAUGACUAGGUAGCUAGGGCAGUUACAACAACUGGUAUGUGGUUUAUGACUAGGUAGCUAGGGCAGUUACAACAACAUGUAUGUGGUUUAUGACUAGGUAGCUAGGGCAGUUACAACAACAUGUAUGCAGUUUUCUGACUAGGUAGCUAGGGCAGUUACAACAACAUGUAUGUGGUUUAUGACUAGGUAGCUAGCUCAGUUACAACAACAUGUAUGUGGUUUAUGACUAGGUAGCUAGGGCAGUUACAACAACAUGUAUGUGGUUUAUGACUAGGUAGCUAGCUCAGUUAUAACAACAUGUAUGUGGUUUAUGACUAGGUAGCUAGCUCAGUUACAACAACAUGUAUGUGGUUUAUGACUAGGUAGCUAGGGCAGUUACAACAAUAUGUAUGUGGUUUAUGACUAGGUAGCUAGCUCAGUUAUAACAACAUGUAUGUGGUUUAUGACUAGGUAGCUAGGGCAGUUACAACAAUAUGUAAGUGGUUUAUGACUAGGUAGCUAGGGCAGUUACAACAACAUGUAUGUGGUUUAUGACUAGGUAGCUAGGGCAGUUACAACAAUAUGUUACAACAAUAUGUAUGCAACAAUUACAACAACAUGUAUGUGGUUUAUGACUAGGUAGCUAGGGCAGUUACAACAACAUGUAUGUGGUUUAUGACUAGGUAGCUAGCUCAGUUACAACAAUAUGUAUGUGGUUUAUGACUAGGUAGCUAGCUCAGUUACAACAACAUGUAUGUGGUUUAUGACUAGGUAGCUAGCGCAGUUACAACAACAUGUAUGUGGUUUAUGACUAUGUAGCUAGCGCAGUUACAACAACACGUAUGUGGUUUAUGACUAGGUAGCUAGCGCAGUUACAACAACAUGUAUGUGGUUUAUGACUAGGUAGCUAUGACAGUUACAACAACAUGUAUGUGGUUUAUGACUAGGUAGCUAGCGCAGUUACAACAACAUGUAUGUGGUUUAUGACUAGGUAGCUAGCGCAGUUACAACAACAUGUAUGUGGUUUAUGACUAGGCAGCUAGGGCAGUUACAACAACAUGUAUGUGGUUUAUGACUAUGUAGCUAGCGCAGUUACAACAACAUGUAUGUGGUUUAUGACUAGGUAGCUAGCUCAGUUAUAACAACAUGUAUGUGGUUUAUGACUAGGUAGCUAGCUCAGUUACAACAACAUGUAUGUGGUUUAUGACUAGGUAGCUAGCUCAGUUACAACAACAUGUAUGUGGUUUAUGACUAGGUAGCUAGGGCAGUUACAACAACAUGUAUGUGGUUUAUGACUAGGUAGCUAUGGCAGUUACAACAAUAUGUUACAACAAUAUGUAUGCAACAAUUACAACAACAUGUAUGUGGUUUAUGACUAGGUAGCUAGGGCAGUUACAACAACAUGUAUGUGGUUUAUGACUAGGUAGCUAGCUCAGUUACAACAAUAUGUAUGUGGUUUAUGACUAGGUAGCUAGGGCAGUUACAACAACAUGUAUGUGGUUUAUGACUAGGUAGCUAGCGCAGUUACAACAACACGUAUGUGGUUUAUGACUAGGUAGCUAGGGCAGUUACAACAACACGUAUGUGGUUUAUGACUAGGUAGCUAGGGCAGUUACAACAACAUGUAUGUGGUUUAUGACUAGGUAGCUAGCUCAGUUAUAACAACAUGUAUGUGGUUUAUGACUAGGUAGCUAGCUCUGUUACAACAAUAUGUAUGUGGUUUAUGACUAGGUAGCUAGCGCAGUUACAACAACAUGUAUGUGGUUUAUGACUAGGUAGCUAGGGCAGUUACAACAACAUGUAUGUGGUUUAUGACUAGGUAGCUAGGGCAGUUACAACAACAUGUAUGUGGUUUAUGACUAGGUAGCUAGGGCAGUUACAACAACAUGUAUGUGGUUUAUGACUAGGUAGCUAGCUCAGUUACAUCAAUAUGUAUGUGGUUUAUGACUAGGUAGCUAGGGCAGUUACAACAACUGGUAUGUGGUUUAUGACUAGGUAGCUAGGGCAGUUACAACAACAUGUAUGUGGUUUAUGACUAGGUAGCUAGGGCAGUUACAACAACUGGUAUGUGGUUUAUGACUAGGUAGCUAGGGCAGUUACAACAACAUGUAUGUGGUUUAUGACUAGGUAGCUAGGGCAGUUACAACAACAUGUAUGCAGUUUUCUGACUAGGUAGCUAGGGCAGUUACAACAACAUGUAUGUGGUUUAUGACUAGGUAGCUAGCUCAGUUACAACAACAUGUAUGUGGUUUAUGACUAGGUAGCUAGGGCAGUUACAACAACAUGUAUGUGGUUUAUGACUAGGUAGCUAGCUCAGUUAUAAAAACAUGUAUGUGGUUUAUGACCAGGUAGCUAGGGCAGUUACAACAACAUGUAUGUUGUUUAUGACUAGGUAGCUAGGGCAGUUACAACAACAUGUAUGUGGUUUAUAACUAGGUAGCUAGGGCAGUUACAACAACAUGUAUGUGGUUUAUGACUAGGUAGCUAGCGCAGUUACAACAACAUGUAUGUGGUUUAUGACUAGGUAGCUAGGACAGUUACAACAAUAUGUAUGUGGUUUAUGACUAUGUAUCUAGCGCAGUUACAACAACAUGUAUGUGGUUUAUGACUAGGUAGCUAGCUCAGUUAUAACAACAUGUAUGUGGUUUAUGACUAGGUAGCUAGCUCAGUUACAACAACAUGUAUGUGGUUUAUGACUAGGUAGCUAGGGCAGUUACAACAAUAUGUAUGUGGUUUAUGACUAGGUAGCUAGGGCAGUUACAACAACAUGUAUGUGGUUUAUGACUAGGUAGCUAGGGCAGUUGCAACAAUAUGUUACAACAAUAUGUAUGCAACAAUUACAACAGCAUGUAUGUGGUUUAUGACUAGGUAGCUAGGGCAGUUACAACAACAUGUAUGCAGUUUUCUGACUAGGUAGCUAGGGCAGUUACAACAACAUGUAUGUGGUUUAUGACUAGGUAGCUAGCUCAGUUACAACAACAUGCAUGUGCUUUAUGACUAGGUAGCUAGGGCAGUUACAACAACAUGUAUGUGGUUUAUGACUAGGUAGCUAGCUCAGUUACAACAACAUGUAUGUGGUUUAUGACUAGGUAGCUAGGGCAGUUACAACAACAUGUAUGUGGUUUAUGACUAGGUAGCUAGCUCAGUUAUAACAACAUGUAUGUGGUUUAUGACUAGGUAGCUAGCUCAGUUACAACAACAUGUAUGUGGUUUAUGACUAGGUAGCUAGGGCAGUUACAACAAUAUGUAUGUGGUUUAUGACUAGGUAGCUAGCUCAGUUAUAACAACAUGUAUGUGGUUUAUGACUAGGUAGCUAGGGCAGUUACAACAAUAUGUAAGUGGUUUAUGACUAGGUAGCUAGGGCAGUUACAACAACAUGUAUGUGGUUUAUGACUAGGUAGCUAGGGCAGUUACAACAAUAUGUUACAACAAUAUGUAUGCAACAAUUACAACAACAUGUAUGUGGUUUAUGACUAGGUAGCUAGGGCAGUUACAACAACAUGUAUGUGGUUUAUGACUAGGUAGCUAGCUCAGUUACAACAAUAUGUAUGUGGUUUAUGACUAGGUAGCUAGCUCAGUUACAACAACAUGUAUGUGGUUUAUGACUAGGUAGCUAGCGCAGUUACAACAACAUGUAUGUGGUUUAUGACUAUGUAGCUAGCGCAGUUACAACAACACGUAUGUGGUUUAUGACUAGGUAGCUAGCGCAGUUACAACAACAUGUAUGUGGUUUAUGACUAGGUAGCUAUGACAGUUACAACAACAUGUAUGUGGUUUAUGACUAGGUAGCUAGCACAGUUACAACAACAUGUAUGUGGUUUAUGACUAGGUAGCUAGCGCAGUUACAACAACAUGUAUGUGGUUUAUGACUAGGCAGCUAGGGCAGUUACAACAACAUGUAUGUGGUUUAUGACUAUGUAGCUAGCGCAGUUACAACAACAUGUAUGUGGUUUAUGACUAGGUAGCUAGCUCAGUUAUAACAACAUGUAUGUGGUUUAUGACUAGGUAGCUAGCUCAGUUACAACAACAUGUAUGUGGUUUAUGACUAGGUAGCUAGCUCAGUUACAACAACAUGUAUGUGGUUUAUGACUAGGUAGCUAGGGCAGUUACAACAACAUGUAUGUGGUUUAUGACUAGGUAGCUAUGGCAGUUACAACAAUAUGUUACAACAAUAUGUAUGCAACAAUUACAACAACAUGUAUGUGGUUUAUGACUAGGUAGCUAGGGCAGUUACAACAACAUGUAUGUGGUUUAUGACUAGGUAGCUAGCUCAGUUACAACAAUAUGUAUGUGGUUUAUGACUAGGUAGCUAGGGCAGUUACAACAACAUGUAUGUGGUUUAUGACUAGGUAGCUAGCGCAGUUACAACAACACGUAUGUGGUUUAUGACUAGGUAGCUAGGGCAGUUACAACAACAUGUAUGUGGUUUAUGACUAGGUAGCUAGUGCAGUUACAACAACAUGUAUGUGGUUUAUGACUAGGUAGCUAGCUCAGUUAUAAAAACAUGUAUGUGGUUUAUGACUAGGUAGCUAGGGCAGUUACAACAACAUGUAUGUUGUUUAUGACUAGGUAGCUAGGGCAGUUACAACAACAUGUAUGUGGUUUAUGACUAGGUAGCUAGCGCAGUUACAACAACAUGUAUGUGGUUUAUGACUAGGUAGCUAGCGCAGUUACAACAACAUGUAUGUGGUUUAUGACUAGGUAGCUAGCUCAGUUACAACAAUAUGUAAGUGGUUUAUGACUAGGUAGCUAGGGCAGUUACAACAACAUGUAUGUGGUUUAUGACUAGGUAGCUAGGGCAGUUACAACAAUAUGUAAGUGGUUUAUGACUAGGUAGCUAGGGCAGUUACAACAACAUGUAUGUGGUUUAUGACUAGGUAGCUAGGGCAGUUACAACAAUAUGUUACAACAAUAUGUAUGCAACAAUUACAACAACAUGUAUGUGGUUUAUGACUAGGUAGCUAGGGCAGUUACAACAACAUGUAUGUGGUUUAUGACUAGGUAGCUAGCUCAGUUACAACAAUAUGUAUGUGGUUUAUGACUAGGUAGCUAGCUCAGUUACAACAACAUGUAUGUGGUUUAUGACUAGGUAGCUAGCGCAGUUACAACAACAUGUAUGUGGUUUAUGACUAUGUAGCUAGCGCAGUUACAACAACACGUAUGUGGUUUAUGACUAGGUAGCUAGCGCAGUUACAACAACAUGUAUGUGGUUUAUGACUAGGUAGCUAUGACAGUUACAACAACAUGUAUGUGGUUUAUGACUAGGUAGCUAGCACAGUUACAACAACAUGUAUGUGGUUUAUGACUAGGUAGCUAGCGCAGUUACAACAACAUGUAUGUGGUUUAUGACUAGGCAGCUAGGGCAGUUACAACAACAUGUAUGUGGUUUAUGACUAUGUAGCUAGCGCAGUUACAACAACAUGUAUGUGGUUUAUGACUAGGUAGCUAGCUCAGUUAUAACAACAUGUAUGUGGUUUAUGACUAGGUAGCUAGCUCAGUUACAACAACAUGUAUGUGGUUUAUGACUAGGUAGCUAGCUCAGUUACAACAACAUGUAUGUGGUUUAUGACUAGGUAGCUAGGGCAGUUACAACAACAUGUAUGUGGUUUAUGACUAGGUAGCUAUGGCAGUUACAACAAUAUGUUACAACAAUAUGUAUGCAACAAUUACAACAACAUGUAUGUGGUUUAUGACUAGGUAGCUAGGGCAGUUACAACAACAUGUAUGUGGUUUAUGACUAGGUAGCUAGCUCAGUUACAACAAUAUGUAUGUGGUUUAUGACUAGGUAGCUAGGGCAGUUACAACAACAUGUAUGUGGUUUAUGACUAGGUAGCUAGCGCAGUUACAACAACACGUAUGUGGUUUAUGACUAGGUAGCUAGGGCAGUUACAACAACACGUAUGUGGUUUAUGACUAGGUAGCUAGGGCAGUUACAACAACAUGUAUGUGGUUUAUGACUAGGUAGCUAGCUCAGUUAUAACAACAUGUAUGUGGUUUAUGACUAGGUAGCUAGCUCUGUUACAACAAUAUGUAUGUGGUUUAUGACUAGGUAGCUAGCGCAGUUACAACAACAUGUAUGUGGUUUAUGACUAGGUAGCUAGGGCAGUUACAACAACAUGUAUGUGGUUUAUGACUAGGUAGCUAGGGCAGUUACAACAACAUGUAUGUGGUUUAUGACUAGGUAGCUAGGGCAGUUACAACAACAUGUAUGUGGUUUAUGACUAGGUAGCUAGGGAAGUUACAACAACAUGUAUGUGGUUUAUGACUAGGUAGCUAGGGCAGUUACAACAACAUGUAUGUGGUUUAUGACUAGGUAGCUAGGUCCAGUUACAACAACAUGUAUGUGGUUUAUGACUAGGUAGCUAGGAGAGUUACAACAACAUGUAUGUGGUUUAUGACUAGGUAGCUAGCGCAGUUACAACAACAUGUAUGUGGUUUAUGACUAGGUAGCUAGGGCAGUUAAAAGAAUAUGUAUGUGGUUUAUGACUAGGUAGCUAGGGCAGUUACAACAACAUUUAUGUGGUUUAUGACUAGGUAGCUAGGGCAGUUACAACAACAUGUAUGCAGUUUUCUGACUAGGUAGCUAGGGCAGUUACAACAACAUGUAUGUGGUUUAUGACUAGGUAGCUAGGGCAGUUACAACAACAUGCAUGUGCUUUAUGACUAGGUAGCUAGGGCAGUUACAACAACAUGUAUGUGGCUUAAGACUAGGUAGCUAGGGCAGUUACAACAACAUGUAUGUGGUUUAUGACUAGGUAGCUAGCCAGUUAUAAAAACAUGUAUGUGGUUUAUGACUAGGUAGCUAGGGCAGUUACAACAACAUGUAUGUUGUUUAUGACUAGGUAGCUAGGGAAGUUACAACAACAUGUAUGUGGUUUAUGACUAGGUAGCUAGCGCAGUUACAACAACAUGUAUGUGGUUUAUGACUAGGUAGCUAGCGCAGUUACAACAACGUGUAUGUGGUUUAUGACUAGGUAGCUAGGGCAGUUACAACAACAUGUAUGUGGUUUAUAACUAUGUAGCCAGCGCAGUUACAACAACAUGUAUGUGGUUUAUGACUAGGUAGCUAGCUCAGUUAUAACAACAUGUAUGUGGUUUAUGACUAGGUAGCUAGCUCAGUUACAACAACAUGUAUGUGGUUUAUGACUAGGUAGCUAGGGCAGUUACAACAAUAUGUAAGUGGUUUAUGACUAGGUAGCUAGGGCAGUUACAACAACAUGUAUGUGGUUUAUGACUAGGUAGCUUGGGCAGUUACAACAAUAUGUUACAACAAUAUGUAUGAAACAAUUACAACAACAUGUAUGUGGUUUAUGACUAGGUAGCUAGGGCAGUUACAACAACAUGUAUGUGGUUUAUGACUAGGUAGCUAGGGCAGUUACAACAAUAUGUAUGUGGUUUAUGACUAGGUAGCUAGGGCAGUUACAACAACAUGUAUGUGGUUUAUGACUAGGUAGCUAGCGCAGUUACAACAACAUGUAUGUGGUUUAUGACUAGGUAGCUAGGACAGUUACAACAAUAUGUAUGUGGUUUAUGACUAUGUAUCUAGCGCAGUUACAACAACAUGUAUGUGGUUUAUGACUAGGUAGCUAGCUCAGUUAUAACAACAUGUAUGUGGUUUAUGACUAGGUAGCUAGCUCAGUUACAACAACAUGUAUGUGGUUUAUGACUAGGUAGCUAGGGCAGUUACAACAAUAUGUAUGUGGUUUAUGACUAGGUAGCUAGCUCAGUUAUAACAACAUGUAUGUGGUUUAUGACUAGGUAGCUAGGGCAGUUACAACAAUAUGUAAGUGGUUUAUGACUAGGUAGCUAGGGCAGUUACAACAACAUGUAUGUGGUUUAUGACUAGGUAGCUAGGGCAGUUACAACAAUAUGUUACAACAAUAUGUAUGCAACAAUUACAACAACAUGUAUGUGGUUUAUGACUAGGUAGCUAGGGCAGUUACAACAACAUGUAUGUGGUUUAUGACUAGGUAGCUAGCUCAGUUACAACAACAUGUAUGCGGUUUAUGACUAGGUAGCUACUGCAGUUACAACAACAUGUAUGUGGUUUAUGACUAGGUAGCUAGGGCAGUUACAACAACAUGUAUGUGGUUUAUGACUAGGUAGCUAGGGCUGGUACAACAGAAUGUAUGUGGUUUAUGACUAGGUAGCUAGCUCAGUUACAACAAUAUGUAUGUGGUUUAUGACUAGGUAGCUAGCUCAGUUACAACAACAUGUAUGUGGUUUAUGACUAGGUAGCUAGCGCAGUUACAACAACAUGUAUGUGGUUUAUGACUAUGUAGCUAGCGCAGUUACAACAACACGUAUGUGGUUUAUGACUAGGUAGCUAGCGCAGUUACAACAACAUGUAUGUGGUUUAUGACUAGGUAGCUAUGACAGUUACAACAACAUGUAUGUGGUUUAUGACUAGGUAGCUAGCGCAGUUACAACAACAUGUAUGUGGUUUUGUAAUAGCUGUCGCUCUCCUCAUCCUCGGAUGAGGUGAGGAGAGAAGGAUCUUCUGACCAAAAUGCGGAGUCAGGGAAAUAUGCCAUCUUUAUUUAUUUACAACGAUAACUGAUGACACGAAAACAAACAAAACACUUUCAACAAACUACAAAAUAAGAAAACGACGUACACGCAACCUGAACAUAAACUUACAUGGACAAACGUAAACUCACGAACAGGAACGGACAUCGAAACGAACGAACAGCCAAACAGCUCCAAA